GACGAACGCUGGCGGCGUGCUUAACACAUGCAAGUCGAACGGAAAGGCCCUGCUUUUGUGGGGUGCUCGAGUGGCGAACGGGUGAGUAACACGUGAGUAACCUGCCCUUGACUUUGGGAUAACUUCAGGAAACUGGGGCUAAUACCGGAUAGGAGCUCCUGCUGCAUGGUGGGGGUUGGAAAGUUUCGGCGGUUGGGGAUGGACUCGCGGCUUAUCAGCUUGUUGGUGGGGUAGUGGCUUACCAAGGCUUUGACGGGUAGCCGGCCUGAGAGGGUGACCGGCCACAUUGGGACUGGGAUACGGCCCAGACUCCUACGGGAGGCAGCAGGGGGGAAUAUUGCAAAAUGGGCGGAAGCCUGAUGCAGCAACGCCGGGGGGGGGAUGACGGCCUUGGGGUUGUAAACCGCUUUCGCCUGUGACGAAGCGUGAGUGACGGUAAUGGGUAAAGAAGCCCCGGCUAACUACGU
rnacentral:rRNA from 1 species